GCUCAGAUUAGUAUUGAUAUAAGAAGUCCAGACACCGUGUCUUUCAAAAACAGAUAAAAAAUAUCAGCAUGUAUGCACCAUUUGCCUUUAAUCACAAAGGCAUACUGAACAUGCUUGAAAUGCCAAUAGUUUUAUAGAUUGCUGUGCCGUUUACUACUCCUCUAUUCUUCACUUUUUUUUUUCCCUUAAGAGAUGAAACCCAGUGCAGCAGCAUGACAGAAGAUACAUUGAACCAGUCAGCAGACCCAUGAAGAGAGAAACCGGACCUUUCUGUGGAAAUUUUACCAGAUGAGUGAUUUUAAACCUGACAUCAACAAUUACAAUGCCCACAGAACCAACUGCAUGUGAAAGGACUACAGUGAAAAUUCAGAGGUGUCCUGUUGUCCUUCAGGUACUUAAUGAUUUUGAUUCACAUUUAUCAAACAAACCCAUCAUCAUUAAGUCCUCUGGACAGACGAAGAACAAAAUGGCUGAUUGGCUUUAUGGAGAGUACAAAAGAAAAGGCAGUUUAAACAUGACAGCUGGUUCUUCGUUUGUGGACAUCUGCAGAAAGCUAACAGAAGUCAAUUUCCUGUGGAGAGCAACUUUUUGUCUGAGUGAUUCAUCCUCUCUCUUUGAUUGUGUCUGGUACUAUCUUGUUGCCUUCUUUGUCAGUUUUACAGUCCUCUUACAGCUUUCAGUCCUCCCUCAUCUUUUUAUUAAGAUAUGGCCAGUAAAAUUUCUCCAUGUAGAUGAAAUUGUGCCUAUUUCCAAAGAUACCCUUAUUAAGUUACAGUCUUUGUGAUUUUAUUUUUUUUAUCCCGUAGGCAGGACUCAUCCACAUGAUCAAAAAUAAAAAAAAUAAUUAAAAAAAAAAUGUUUGCCUGCUAGAAGAAAAGUAAAAUCAGACAAUUCUUUUUCCACCUGAUAGAUUACAUAUAGUUACAAUUCUUGAGGAUUGGUUACUUCCCAAAAAUUGUUUUAGAAAGCAAGUUUGCAUUUGCUGGCUAUGUGAGAUAUAGCAGUGCUCCAACAGCAGAUUACUUUUAGUUCGAUGAAGUAAAACAAAAACAAAUAUUUGCAGUUCUAUAUCUUACAAAUAAGGUGAUUUUUUUUUCAGCAGGUUAUCAUCUUUUCUAAUAUUUUGAUCAUCUGCGUCUUUUAUAUUGCUGUAUCUGUGAAUUUGUUAUAUUUAUUUCUUUUGAGGAAUUUUGAAGGAAAAUUCUAGUCUCUAUGAUGUGAGGGUUUUAAAAUAUGACAAAACUAAAGGAGCAAAGGUCAUUUGUUUGUGUAUGCAUUAGAAUGAAAUAUUAUCUUCAAUAUUUGCUGAGUUAUUACUGUACUUAAUGCAUAGAUCUGAGACCUAGGUCAUCAGGGUCACCUGCAUUGUCAAGAGUUGCAUACAGCUACCCAUGAAAUCACUGCUGUCUCUUCCUCCUGUGUAACUUACGGUCUCACCCUGACCUGCAGCUGCCUCCAUCUCCUCUGUAUGCAUUGCAGCCAGGUUCUGCCCAUUGGCUGUUGAUCCACAAAAAGUGACUCUAAGCCUGGCAUUAAAGCUUUAUUUCCUUCUGCUCUGCUACCCAGGGGUUCAGGAGGACAGCCACUCUCUUGGCUCACCCUGUACUGCUCCUUGGAGUCAGGGGAGCCCUGGCAGAGGCCAGGUGUAGGCCUCAACAGAGGAAUGGACUCUGCCCAGGUCUAAAACUCUCUUUCUGCAUGUGUUCGCACAGUCCGUGAAUUAUGCUGACUUUAUUUAACACUUCACAUCUAAUGCCUGAUAGGUAAUAUUGAAAACAAUAUUAUAAAGCAAUUUCUUAUUCUUUAUGUAAAUGUAUAUGUGUACGUGCAUUCCUGUGCAUUCCCAUUGUCGUGGUUUAACCCGGCCGGCAGCUAAACACCACGCAGCCUCCCCCCUCCCUCUCUGGGAUGGGGGAGAGAAAUGGAAAGUGAAACCCGUGAGUUGAGAUAAAGACAGUUUAAUAAGACAGGAAAAUAAUAAUAAUAAUAAUAAUAAUACAAUGAAUAUAAUAGUACUACUACUAACAAUAUGUACAAACAAGUGAUGCACAAUGCAAUUGCUCACCGCCCGCUGACCAAUGCCCAGCCUAACCCCGAGCAGUCCGGCCCCCUCCCCCGGCUAGCCACCCCUAUAUAUUGUUUAGCAUGACGUCAGAUGUUGGGAAUUGGUAUACAGACGUGGACAUGAGUUCAAUCUGAGCCUGCUUUGAGCAAGCAGGAGCAGGCCUUAGAAAAUCCUGCGGCCUGCUGUAGCUGAGCAAACCAAGCUACCAGAGUAGCCGUGAGAAGAUCCCACGGCAGCGACUCCCACAUCGCCCAAUUGAGGAACUCAGAAGAAUGUUGUUAUCAGCAGCUGGACUCAAGGACGGGGACUGCGUGACUCCUAAUCAUAAGGGGGGUUCUUUCCCAGCAGGUGGGGUUGUUAUCUUAUAGUUGUUUGUCUGAGUGCUUCUGUCCAAUAAUCUUGUGUGAAACACUGUACGCCUCUGUCAAAUUCACUAUAAAAGCUAGGCUAUUCGGGCAAUAAAAUGAAGUUCACUGAUCACUCAUAUUGAGCGUCUGUGUCUUCCCUCCGUCGACGACAGUCAGAUGGUAUGGAAUACCCCUUUGGCUAGUUUGGGUCACCGGUCCUGGGUCUGUCCCCUCCCAGCUCUUACUGCACCCCCAGCCUGCCCAUUGGCAGGACAGAGCAAGAAGCUGAGACGUCCUUGGCUUGGUGUAAGCACUGCUCUGCAACAAUUAAAACAUCGGGGGUGUUAUCAGCACUCUUCUCAUCCCAAGCCAAAACACAGCAUUCCACUAGCUACUAGGAAGAAAAUUAACUCUGUUCUAACUGAAACCAGGACACCCGUGCAUUCAGCAUUCAAGCAUUCUCUGCUAGUCCGUUUCUUGAAUACCAGUUUCACUAAUUUGGGGGAAUAAUAUGUGAAGUUGCAAGACUGUAAUGAUCUAUUCCUGAAAUUUGUCAAAUAAUGACCUAGACCACCUUCUCGGCCAGAAUGAACCGUGCCAAGACAUCCAAACUACCAUAAAAGCAUUCAUGUUGAUAUGUUAUUUGAAAAACAUUUACAAUUACAAGAUGUUAGAUGUCUCUGUCUAUGGUGGU
ensembl:lncRNA